GUUUAACAAUAGUGAUACAUUGCACAUUCUUGCACAGAUAUUAUUUUGCAAAGGUGUCAAUAAUCUUGUAAGACUCAUUCAUUUUAGCCAAAGAGUAUAGCCAUCUCAAUUUUUGGUACCUAUCGCCACAUUGUCUUUCAAAUAGUAAGUAUCAACAUAGUGCUUUUACAAAUAUACAAGCAAAUAUAUAAAGCAGCCCAACCGCAGCUUCUUUGCUCAUUACUACUUUGACAAUAAUGAUUCAAGUAUCUAAGCAUAACUUUUAUUUAAAAUAUUAUAGAUACUAUUUCCUCUAUGAAAUCUGAAGAAAUGAGCAAGUAUUUUCUGCAUGGAAAAUAUGCCAGACUAUCUUUUUCCUUCAGUCUCCAUCCCUUGUUCUGCUAAAACAGACACAUUCAUUAGAAGAUCUGGACUGAUUGCAGUUAAACAGUGUAGUGCAGUUGUGGUGACUCUAAGAAUAUGCAGAGUUGGCUACAUUUGAUACAACUGGCAUUCUAAGCAACAGUAGUAAAUUUCAUGCUACUAUUCCAAAUUCAAUGUUAUUUAAGAUAUAUUUCUAAAUUAUGCACAUUAAAUAAAACACAUCUGUGGACCAGAUUCUACCAAAAACCAUGCUAGUUUUGACUCAGUUCCCAAUGGUGAUUCUUGAAGCUCAAACUGGUUCUGUCUAAAUAAUUCACACCCUAACCAAGUACCUCUGAUCCAGAAGAUCCUUGGCCACCAGACAGAAGGGAAUUUCUAGAGAACUUCUUCCAUGCCUGCAAAGGGGCAAAAGGGACCUCCUUUGAAAAUCCAGUAGUGCAUCUACAUAUUUUAUGUUUAUGUGAUAGUUUUCAUUUAAAAAUCCAAAUCUAUUGCCCUAUUUAAUUUUCAUGAUCUAUAUGUGUGUAAAUUUUGUGAGUAUCAAAAUUGUAUAGAUAAGAAAUAAAGAGGCCUAGGAAAGUAACUUGCCCCAAGUUUAUGUGCAAGUAAAUGGCAGAGUAAGCCUCUAAUUUACUCUUAACUGCAGAGUUAGUAUUCUAAGAUACCACAGUUAUUGCUGUGAAUGCCUGAACUGAUUUCUAGAGUGAAAUUAUCUGGAAAAAUCCUAGAUCACAUCUCAUGCUUCUCUGUGUAGCAUGUCUGAGUAUCAGGAAAUUAAAAGGCCUAAAUGAUCUGGCUCUGCCACCUUAGAGGCAUGUAUGACAGACAGCCUUUCAUGGUAAUUCAUUGCCUUGAUGUGGGCAUUGGAGUGUUACGUAAGGUUAACUAGGAAAAAUAAACUACAAAUAGUAAGGAUUCAACAUUUAAAAUGUGUAUUCCUGUGAAAAGUGAGAAAUAACAAGCAAGUUACUAGGAAUACAAAAGUGACAAAUGUACAUUUGAAAAUGUCACAGUCCUUUGAAAGAGAAGUUACAGAACUUUGUAGAAGUUACUUGAAAUUAGAAUUUUCUGGGAGCAAUAAAAAUAAAAUAAAUUCCAGGCUGACUGAUUAAAGACAAACAAAACCUUUUAAAAUUAGAUUGUAAAAAACAAGCACUUAAAUAACUUAUAACUAAUCUCUUGUUUAUAUAAUCUUGACAAUUCUGUCACUUGUGUUUAUCCUAGGUUUACAAGUAAUUUUUAAAACUAUUGAUCCCUAAUAUCUGUAAAAUCAGUUUUGUUUCUGAUUGAAUUUACUCAGACCACCUUUAUCUUUCUAUUCACCAUUCAUGUCCCUCGCCCAUCUUUCAACAUCACUGAAAUAAGAGGAAGCAGUAAAUCUCUAAAAUGAAUUUAAAAAGUAAAAUCAAAAUUAACUUCAUUUGUCUUAGAUUACUUUAAAAUUCUCUUUAUAGCCAAUCUCAUUUGUUUUCCAACAUGAUCACAAACCCAUUUAACAUUUAAUACACAUAAUGAAGAGGUAUUUAUUUAAUUAUCAUGUGCUAACUACUAUAACAAACCAUCCUAAAAUCUUAACAAUACAAUAAAGUUAUAAUGUUUUAAAUGUCAUAGACUGUGUGAAUUAGUGUCUUUUGCGCACGUCGUUCCUUACUGAGGGAUUUUGGAAGCAUUCGGAGUUCAGUUUCUCCAUUUGAGAACGAGAAGAAAUAGGCAGUUACCUCUCUUGGACAAACAGGUUUUGAUCCAUCCCGUCUGAACUUCAAAACAAAUUCCCCCUUCCCAACAGGUCUUGCACUGCUGUUUUUCACGCUAUGAGUUGUGCACGGUUUAUUUUUUUAAAAAUCCUGAAAUCUUAAUGACUUAAUACAGUAAAAUUGUAAUUUAUGUCAUAGACUGUAUGGAUUAGUGGGGAGAGUGAAGACUAUGCUUCAUACAGUCAUUUAGGGAUCUGGACUCAUUGCAUCUAUGGCUACAGCAUCUUCCAAGGCCUUGGAGUCUUCCAGAAGGUACUUUAUAUGCAAGUAACAAACCAGGAAAGAGGCUGGGUGCAUGCCUGUAAUCUCAGCACUUUGGGAGGCAGAGACAGGAUGAUCACUUGAGUCCACUAAUUCGAGACCAGCUUGGGCAACAUGGCAAGGCCCUGUCUCUACAAAAAAAUUAAAAAGUUAGGUAGGCAUGGUGGCAUGAGCCUGUAGUCCCAGCUACUUGGGACACUGAGGUGGAGGAUUGCUUAAGCCCAAGAGGUUGAGGUUACAGUGAGCCAUGAUUGCACUACUGCACUCCAGACUGGGUGACAGAGAGA
rnacentral:lncRNA from 10 species